GGGAUUGUAGAUUAAUUGUUUAAGAGCCCAUCCUGUAUGGUAGCUGCGGGUUCAAGCCCCGCCAAUCCCA